GUGGCUGUAGCUCAAUCGGUAGAGCGCUUGGCUGUGGCCCAAGUGGUUACGCGUUCGAGUCGCGUCAGCCACC
rnacentral:tRNA from 1 species